GAUGAACGCUAGCUACCGGCUUAACACAUGCAAGUCGAGGGACCGGCGCACGGGUGAGUAACACGUAUCCAACCUGCCCUUUACUAGGGGAUAGCCUUUCGAAAGGAAGAUUAAUACCCGAUGUAUAGGGUGGUGAUGCGUUCCAUUAGGUUGUUGGUGAGGUAACGGCGCAGCAAGCCUUCGAUAGAAAGGGGUUCUGAGAGGAAGGUCCCCCACAUUGGAACUGGGACACGGUCCAAACUCGUACGGGAGGCAGCAGUGAGGAAUAUUGGUCAAUGGGCGUUAGCCUGAACCAGCCAAGUAGCGUGAAGGAUGAAGGCUUAUGGGUCGUAAACUUCUUUUAUAUAAGAAUAUGUAUUAUAUGAAUAAGGAUCGGCUAACUCCGUGCCAGCAGCCGCGGUAAUAC
rnacentral:rRNA from 1 species